ensembl:snoRNA
AAUAUUGUUAAAAUGUUGUCCAACUUCUGGACAAAGACUUAGAGAACGGUGCAAAAAAAAAUCCUCUUUUGCAACCCAGAACUCAUUGCUAAGUAUGAGUUUUGGUACAUAAAAAAAGAAAUAUU